UGAAAACUUGAGAAGUAUAGUAGGUAUAGAUCAACAAAUAAUAGAAAGUUUUCAUCAUAAUUAUGCCAGACGUAGGUACAAAUACGCAAGCAUAGAAAAUUAAUUACACAUAAGUAAGUACCUAUAGGUAAGGUACUAAUUAUAUUUGCAACAAGUAAAAUAUCGUGCUGACGCGUAAUGACGUGGUUUGAACUCAAUUCACCUCUAGCUAGUAACAGUUACAUAACUGUGACGUCAUCGCCUAGGUUUUGGACAGCCAUUGUUCUAUAAACUAGACGUUUUGUUGGCUGAAAUACCUAAAUGUAGACUGAGGAUAGCUUGCAUGUACCUACUAAUACUGCAAGUACUACAUAUGUAGCAGGAAAUAUUUUUGUUUUCAUGGUUUGUACCCUAUUGCUCCGAAACUACUGAUCCAAAAAAUUAUUUCACUGUUGAAGAGCUAAGUACUCUAUCCUUGGGUGAAACCGAGGGAAAGAAACAAGUACCGAAUCUCAUUGAUUAAUUUUUUUCGCAAUUUCCGUUUCUCCCGAAGGAGCAAUUUCACGUAUCCGAAAUUAUAUUUCGAAAAUAUAGCCCUAACUUUUUUUACUGCGAUUCAUAUUUGCGUUUGUCUUCAAAAUAAUAAUCGAUGUUAAGUAUUACAUAAGCUUCAAUAGGUACUUUUUUUGCUAGCCAUGCCAAAGUAGCCAUGUAGUAGGUAGGGUAAACUGGGUACGGUUGUGCCAGGGUACGAUAGUGACAGUCGCAAUUGUAACGAAACUAUACGUAAUACGGGGGAGGGGUAUAAGGGAGAAAGACGUGGCUCACAAGCCUAAGCACGUUCCCCAAUAUUGCGUUAGCCGGCGCAGGACGUUGACGUAAGCAGGAGCCCACAUUGCUUUUCAACAAUCAAAAAUGUCCAGAAUACGUUUGUGGAAGACCGAAAGAGCGCAGUGUUAUAUCAAAAAAUAAAAAGAUGCUGAUGAAGAAGUGAAACAAGGGAUUUCGUACGUGUAGCUCAAGCUACAAGCCUUUCUACAGCUACAAGUUUUAACAGAGUAAAUGUUGUUUUGUUGAUUUUUAAAACUAUGUUUGUAAGCUUAUUAUGUUAAACAUUUCUACAAUAAAAGAUAUUAUAGACCA
rnacentral:lncRNA from 1 species